UACAGAAAAUUAAAUAAUGUGGUAGCAAGGUGCUGGUUUCCUAGUCUCCAUGGAGCUCUUUGUCUUGAUGCCCACGUGACAAUCACGUGAAUGAAGAGGCUCUCACUCGCAGAUUAUGCUGUUGCCAAAUGCUUCCUUCAGUGCCACAGAGACCCCAGGAGAAAACUGUGUAAAGGAUGCCGACUCUCCAUGGCUUCUCGACUAUGAAGCAUAUUACUGCCAUCGUUUUCUCCAGUCAUCGAACUCUAUAAGGCAGGGCACUGUACAAAAUAAGAAGUUUCAAUAAUUAAUGGAAAGAAGAAAACUGUGGCUCAUUUCCUGCCAUGUGGAUCUAAAAUGAGAGAAAAGCCACCAAAGAAGGAUAGCACUAGAAGUUCUGUCUCAGAAAUUAGAGAAAAGAAUUUCUCAAACCACAAUUACCGCGUCAGAACCUUGGUAUCAUCACACUGGUCAAAGCCUACCAUUUGGAAACCAGGACACUGAGCCUGAUGUGGCCCUGAUAGGGCAGAGUGAAAUGGUUCCUGCCCCUGGGAUAAGGCCCUGGUGUGAGCCUCUAUGAGUGUCAGUCAUUGGCUCUGUGGGUAUGAAGCUUG